GAAACAUUCAACAUUCCAGCUGCAAAGCUGCAAGGCCGAGCAGAUAAACAGUAAUGAGUAUUUUGGACCAAACCACUACAAUCCCCAUGUGGCUACACCUUCCUUUGAGGAUCACCUUUGAGCCUUCUCUUCUCUAGGCUAAACACCCCCAGCACCCUCAGUCACUCCUGAUAGGACUUGUGCUCCAGGCCAUUCACCAGCUUUGCUGCCUUUCCCUGGACACAUUCCAGCACCUCAACUGUCCUUCCUGAGCUGAAGCACCCUGAACUGGACACGGGACUUGAGACCUCACCAGCACGGACAACGGGGGAAGAAUCACUUCCCUGGUCCUGCUGAGCACACAACUCCUGAUACAGGCCAGGAUGCCAUUGGCUUUCUUGGUCAUCUGGGCACAGAAAUCAGCAUCCUGAAUAGGCCAAAAUCUGCCCUCUGCAGCUGAGGCUGCAUCUUCUCCCUUUUUCUGUUUCUUUCAACGCCUCUCAUUUCAGACCUGCCUGACCCUGAUUUGGUGCAGUGGGAACGUGACAUGAUGCCCAGGGCGGCACCAUGCAAAAGCCUACAUCCUCAAUUUUAGCCAUGCACCGACUUGUUUUUAUUUCAAUGGAGAGGCCUCACUGAAGGCACAACAUGUUCAUUACCACUGUAGCACUUUAUAAACAAAACAUCAACCUAAGGAUUAACUACAUAAACAUCUUGUUAAAUUUGCUGUCGUUAUUUCCUUGUGAUCUGAUGAUAACUGCAUAACAUAUUGCUAAUACUAAUUAUUAGUCUUGACAGAUUUGGCAUAUAUCAUGAUUUCUAUAUUCGCUUCCUGGCAUUAGCAUUUCCCUGCUUCCUGAUCCCCACUGACUUUGUGUUACCUAGAGAGCCUCCUGCUUUCUCCAGGGAAUUCCAUAGUUCUCUUAUCUGAUCCCACAGCUUCUCUGCAUCCACAUAAUUGAAGUGGUCACCGCUGGACAGGAAAUGUAAGGUUGAGUUGAUACCAUAUUCUUCUGGACAUUGUUAUUCUGAGUGGUGCCAUAAAUCUCAUGAGAAGACCCCAAGGGAAGAUGCAUCUCAGGCAGAACUGAAAAGAAGAAUUAAAGUCAAAGAAGAGGAGUUGAAGGCAUCUUUUGUUUCUUUUGUGGUGCAGCAAUUACAGCCUCUGUUUAAUCUGGUGUAAUAGUUGUCUCAUUAAAAGAUUUACUACAGUCAAAA